GGUGGCCUAGUGGUUAAAGCAUCCGCCUCGAAUGCGAACGGUCGUGGAUUCGAUCCCCGGCCAUAUCAUACCA